UACGUAGGGUGCAAGCGUUGUCCGGAAUUAUUGGGCGUAAAGAGCUCGUAGGCGGUUUGUCGCGUCUGCUGUGAAAACUCGGGGCUCAACCUCGGGUCUGCAGUCGAUACGAGCAAACUAGAGUGUUGCAGGGGAGACUGGAAUUCCUGGUGUAGCGGUGAAAUGCGCAGAUAUCAGGAGGAACACCGGUGGCGAAGGCGGGUCUCUGGGCAACAACUGACGCUGAGGAGCGAAAGCGUGGGGAGCGAACAGG
rnacentral:rRNA from 1 species